GUGUCCAUAUAAGGAGAGAGAGAUUUGAACACACAGAGAAAGCACACAGGAGAAAGAUUUGUGAAGACAGAGGCAGAAAUUGGAGCCAUCGUGCCACAAACCAAAGAAUGCCGGAGAUUGUAGGCAAAAAACAGACACCAGAAAAGUUCUGAAGAGGAAACAAUUUUGAAACCCAGAAGAGAACUGCAGUUUGCUGUGCUUUAGGUUUAGUUUGAAGGUGAAGAAAUCUAAGAUCAGUAAAGCCUGAGAUCACCAACCAGAAAGCAGCUUAACUGGGGAUGGAAAGAAGAACUGUUUGGUUCCAAAGCAUUUCAACAUGUUUGGAAAUUGUCAGACUGCUUAUCACUGGAGUGAGGAGAUUUUUGUUCUAUAGGUUGUGGUAGCGUCUGCCAGUAGACAAAAUCAUCAUGAAAUGUUAAGGAUGAGAGAGGUACUUGCAAACCUUCUUAAAAGUCCAGAGGAAACAGUGACUGUGUAGUGUGAAGACUCGAGCCAUCCCCAAAGUAGAGCAGCAGCACAUGCGAAGAGGGAUUCUUAUCUGCCCUUGAUUGAGAGCCUGCUGCAUCCAUCCAUGCUGCUUCUGUUGAACUGGGAACAGAGAGGCCUGCAGCAACCAGGGAGGAGGUGGAGCGACUUUGUUGCAAUUGCUUACCCCAUAAUAAUGCAUUGUAUAUAUAGAUCAUUUUUUCAAACCAGGCUGGCAUAAAUAGUACUAUGAUUUGACCUGUUUGGUGUUCCUAUUAUCCUCUUUUGUAAGGAACCUAAUUCUUUCUUUAAAUUUAUUUAUUUAUUUAUUAUUUUUGGAAACAGAGAAGUCCUGGAGCUUUUCUUAAAUGAAAAGUACAGGGUGUCUGCUAGUAGUUCAUCUGAUGUUGAAAGGGCAGACUGUUACCAGUAUCGCCAGAUAGCUUGGGUUAGUGGGUGAAAUAUUUUCCUGAUUAUUGUUUCACAUUAUCUGGUGUUAAUACCUUCAAGUAUAUAUUGAAGCAAUUAUCUUAAUAAAGCCCUAUUUUACUUCUCUCUGCUGUUUUCUUCAUGAUUAUUUGCCAUAUGGUAAGAGAGAAUACGUAUACACAAUAAAUGUUAACAAACACACAUGAAUAUCCGGACACCUCUGUCUCUCUGUGUGUCUCUCUUUGUCUCUUUCUGCCUCUCUUUUUCUCUCUGUCUCUGUAUCUUUCCCUCUCUCCUUUUCUCCUUCCCACAGGCACACACAGACACUUCUUCUGGCUUUGAGAUAAAUCUAAAAAUACCUGCUGUUUGAAAUCACUUCCCGUGGUGAUUAAAAAGGACCUUUCCCACUGAGAUCCAAGAUAGCUUUUCUUCCCUGUGUUGAAACAGGGCCUCUGCCUGUGGUUGUCACUGUGGAGUAAGAUGUCCCUGCGAGGCAAAGCAUAUGAUGUGUACCAUGGGCUCAUUUAGGCCAGGUCUCGUUUAAAAACAAUCUUUUCCGAAGCUAUUUAUAAUUCCUUGGCUGAGAAGAAUACAACUUUAGUGAAAGUGAAUAGUAAAAGGAAGCAAUUAAAUUCCUUAUGCAAUGGUCUUUUUUAAAAGAGCGGGUGUGUUAUAGAAGGAAAAAUCCUGCGUUAGAAGUCAGUGGUCCUUAGGCUACUUCUUAGAUUACUAAACUUCUCUGGGUCCUUAUUUGCAUAUUUUUUUCUCAUUCCGUCAUUUGCAUAUCCCCACAAAAUAGGAAAUGAUACAGGGCUCUUAAGCACACGGCAUCAUACAAACUCUAAGUCCCUUGAAGCUGCUUUGAAAAUUACAAGUGCCCAUCUUCCAAGCAUUCUGAUUCUCUGGGUGAGGGCAUAGUCACCUGCAUCCUUACAUAUUUAAAAACUAUAUUUUAUCUUCAAGGCCCUUUCCAGCCCUGAAAUAGUAAGACUCCAAAAAUAACUCGCUUCUAUAAAAACUGCAUGAAGAUCAUUUGAUCAUUUAGUCAUAUAAUAGCUACUCCA
rnacentral:lncRNA from 1 species